GACGAACGCUGGCGGCGUGCUUAACACAUGCAAGUCGAACGGUGAAGCACCUUCCUUUUGGUGGGUGUGGAUGAGUGGCGAACGGGUGAGUAACACGUGAGUAACCUGCCCCCUUCUUCUGGAUAACCGCAUGAAAGUGUGGCUAAUACGGGAUAUUCUGUGCCUGCUGCAUGGUGGGUGUGGGAAAGAUGCGCUUUUGGGUGUUUUUGGUGGGGGAUGGCGUCGCGGCCUAUCAGCUUGUUGGUGGGGGGAUGGCCUACCAAGGCGGUGACAGGUAGCCGGCCUGAGAGGGUGGACGAUCAGACUGGGACUGGGACACGGCCCAGACUCCUACGGGAGGCAGCAGUGGGGAAUAUUGCACAAUGGGCGCAAGCCUGAUGCAGCGACGCCGCGUGAGGGAUGGAGGCCUUCGGGUUGUAAACCUCUUUCGCCAGUGAAGCAGGCCUGUCCCUUGUGGGUGGGUUGACGGUAGCUGGAGAAGAAGCGCCGGCUAACUACGUG
rnacentral:rRNA from 1 species